CACACUUGGAUAUCCUCCUGAAUGGAACGGCAGUCUGAUUUUGACUACCACAAGUAGACAGAGUCGUAUCAUCAUUGCAUCUGAAGAACAUGGAUGAAGAGCUGCUUGAAGGAGUAUGGGCAGCUAAGAUCUCCUCAUCUUCAUGAUUAUUAUCUUCUCACUUCUUUGGAGCAGGAAGAUCAUGAGAAACCUUCUCUACAGUUUCAUACUAUGCCUGAUGUGUACCACUCUCCUCCCCCAGUGGAAAGGAGGAUGGACAAGACAAUGAACAUGUAUUGUUAUCUCCCCAGAGAGCCAUAG
rnacentral:lncRNA from 1 species